CCUACGGGAGGCUGCAGUGGGGAAUAUUGGACAAUGGGCGAAAGCCUGAUCCAGCCAUGCCGCGUGUGUGAAGAAGGCCUUCGGGUUGUAAAGCACUUUCAGUGGGGAAGAAAGCCUUGGGGCUAAUACCCUCGAGGAAGGACAUCACCCACAGAAGAAGCACCGGCUAACUCCGUGCCAGCAGCCGCGGUAAUACGGAGGGUGCGAGCGUUAAUCGGAAUUACUGGGCGUAAAGCGCGCGUAGGCGGUCUGAUAAGCCGGUUGUGAAAGCCCCGGGCUCAACCUGGGAACGGCAUCCGGAACUGUCAGGCUAGAGUGCAGGAGAGGAAGGUAGAAUUCCCGGUGUAGCGGUGAAAUGCGUAGAGAUCGGGAGGAAUACCAGUGGCGAUGGCGGCCUUCUGGACUGACACUGACGCUGAGGUGCGAAAGCGUGGGUAGCAAACAGGAUUAGAUACCCUGGUAGUC
rnacentral:rRNA from 1 species